CAUGCAAGUCGCACGGGCAGGGGUAACUCUGUCAGUGGCGGACGGGUGAGUAACGCGUAGGUAUCUAUCCUCGGGUGGGGGACAACCACGGGAAACUGUGGCUAAUACCGCAUGACGACUGAGGUCCAAAGGCGCAAGUCGCCUGGGGAGGAGCCUGCGUCCGAUUAGCUUGUUGGUGGGGUAAUGGCCUACCAAGGCUCCGAUCGGUAGCUGGUCUGAGAGGAUGAUCAGCCACACUGGGACUGAGACACGGCCCAGACUCCUACGGGAGGCAGCAGUGGGGAAUAUUGGACAAUGGGCGAAAGCCUGAUCCAGCAAUGCCGCGUGGGUGAAGAAGGUCUUCGGAUUGUAAAGCCCUUUCGACGGGGACGAUGAUGACGGUACCCGUAGAAGAAGCCCCGGCUAACUUCGUGCCAGCAGCCGCGGUAAUACGAAGGGGGCUAGCGUUGCUCGGAAUGACUGGGCGUAAAGGGCGCGUAGGCGGAUGGUACAGUCAGAUGUGAAAUUCCCGGGCUCAACCUGGGGGCUGCAUUUGAUACGUAUGAUCUUGAGUGGGGAAGAGGGUCGUGGAAUUCCCAGUGUAGAGGUGAAAUUCGUAGAUAUUGGGAAGAACACCGGUGGCGAAGGCGGCGACCUGGUCCUUGUACUGACGCUGAGGCGCGAAAGCGUGGGGAGCAAACAGGAUUAGAUACCCUGGUAGUCCACGCUGUAAACGAUGUGUGCUGGAUGUUGGGCGACCUAGUCGCUCAGUGUCGUAGCUAACGCGAUAAGCACACCGCCUG
rnacentral:rRNA from 1 species